AUUGAACGCUGGCGGCAUGCUUUACACAUGCAAGUCGAACGGCAGCGCGGGGGCAACCCUGGCGGCGAGUGGCGAACGGGUGAGUAAUGCAUCGGAACGUAUCCUGUAAUGGGGAUAACGUAGCGAAAGUUACGCUAAUACCGCAUACGCUCGAGAGAGGAAAGUGGGGAUCGCAAGACCUCACGUUAUAGGAGCGGCCGAUGUCCGAUUAGCUAGUUGGUGGGUAAAGGCCUACCAAGGCGACGAUCGGUAGCUGGUCUGAGAGGAUGAUCAGCCACACUGGGACUGAGACACGGCCCAGACUCCUACGGGAGGCAGCAGUGGGGAAUUUUGGACAAUGGCGAAAGCCUGAUCAGCCAUGCCGCGUG
rnacentral:rRNA from 1 species